AGCGAACGCUGGCGGCAGGCCUAACACAUGCAAGUCGAACGAACUCUUCGGAGUUAGUGGCGGACGGGUGAGUAACACGUGGGAACGUGCCUUUAGGUUCGGAAUAACUCAGGGAAACUUGUGCUAAUACCGAAUGUGCCCUUCGGGGGAAAGAUUUAUCGCCUUUAGAGCGGCCCGCGUCUGAUUAGCUAGUUGGUGAGGUAAAGGCUCACCAAGGCGACGAUCAGUAGCUGGUCUGAGAGGAUGAUCAGCCACAUUGGGACUGAGACACGGCCCAAACUCCUACGGGAGGCAGCAGUGGGGAAUCUUGCGCAAUGGGCGAAAGCCUGACGCAGCCAUGCCGCGUGAAUGAUGAAGGUCUUAGGAUUGUAAAAUUCUUUCACCGGGGACGAUAAUGACGGUACCCGGGGAAGAAGCCCCGGCUAACUUCGUG
rnacentral:rRNA from 1 species